UACGAAGGGGGCUAGCGUUGCUCGGAAUUACUGGGCGUAAAGGGCGCGUAGGCGGCCAGAUUAGUCAGGCGUGAAAUUCCUGGGCUCAACCUGGGGACUGCGCUUGAUACGGUUUGGCUUGAGGGCAGGAGAGGCUCGCGGAAUUCCCAGUGUAGAGGUGAAAUUCGUAGAUAUUGGGAAGAACACCGGUGGCGAAGGCGGCGAGCUGGCCUGUUACUGACGCUGAGGCGCGACAGCGUGGGGAGCAAAC
rnacentral:rRNA from 1 species